rnacentral:lncRNA from 1 species
AAAAAAUUUGAUGUGCAUCAGAUUUGGAACUCUUAACCUGACUAUAUUUAUACAUUGGCAAUUCUGGCCCCACCACAGAGUAAGUGUGGUACUCUGGCCCACUGCGUAGGGUAUAGGUACGGUAUUCUAGCCCACUCCGUAGGAUAUAAAUGUGAUAUUGUGGCCCACUCUGCAGAAUAUAAAUGUGAUAUUCUGGCCUACUCCGUAGGGUAUAAGUGUGGUUCUAUUUCUGGGGUAGCCACAGAGUAUAAGUGUGGCUAUAGUUAAAAGUUGUUGAGUUGAAUGUGAUUUGUUUCAAAUCAAAUUUAUGAUUAUAUAAAUAGAUAUUUGAAAGAUAUGGAUUUCAAUGAAUUUGUAUUUUGAAACAAAAUUUAUUAUGUCUUUAUACUGACUCAUCGUAAUUUAUAUUUAUAUUACGAUAUGAAUUGUCUAGUUAAGGUAUUCAUUAUUUACUGCGUUGUUUAGCUCAUUAUACGAUUUUUUACUGUUUUGACAUAUUCGAAGAAUUAGCUCGAUCCGGGCUUUUACAAUAUGGGAGAGCAACUAGAAGAACUGUGACACAGGUUAUCUUAGAUUAGAGUUUAUUUAAAAUUUGACCAAUGUUAGAAUUGUGAGACAUUGUAUGUUGAGUUAGUUAAUAAAAUAAAGAGUAUAUAUUAUUAGUUUAAAUUAUUAAAUUGUAUAUUGAUGAUAUCAUGUUAAGAUACCUUGCAUACUCGUGGGGAGAGCUCCCUAUGAGUGUGCGGCUGUUGCCGCGGCUCCAGCUCAUGAUCUCGGGUCGAGUACAUGACACAACUCUUCUAAAAUUGGUUGCUUAUAGGCUACUUCUAUUGGAUAUGAUGCUAAACCCAGCUCGGGACCAUCAAGCCAUAACCCAAAGUGUCGAACCCGUAGACACCAUCGGGGAGAGGUGCUUUGAACAUGCCAUCAGCCGAAGUCCCACCAUUGUUUGCAAGCUAGUCUGUUGAUCUAGAUGAAGAUAAUACCAUCUAUAUAGAAACUACACCACUCCUGGCCAUUCCAGUAAAACUACCUGGUGAAUUCAGGUCCAAACAGUUAAGGCUGCGAGUUGUGGGAAUUGGUAAGUAAGAGAUUGGUCAGCAGCUGAGUUUAUUAAGUAGAUGCUCGGAGUUAAAUCUUUCCAGAUUCCCCAGUCAGGGGGGUAGACUUUCCACCACCAUUUGCACAAUAUGGCUUGCCAACCAACCCAAAGAAUGUCAUGUUGGAGGUCGAAUAGUUUCGAUCUUAUCGGCGACCCACUGAGGAAUCUCACCAGUGAGAGCAGGAUCUUGCCGUCGGCAUAUUGAAGACAUCACACCAUGGUGCAAAGAGAUCGUGGUCCCAAGCCUUCAAUAAGGUCAUUGCAUUCAACUCUUUUCCAGCAUCCAUGCAAAAGUAUAU